AACUCUAUACAGAGUUCGUAAGUUUAGUUCAUUAUCUAAUGUUCAUAACAAAAAUAAAAUUACAUCACAUACUAUAAUUCAAAGCUACAAAAAACAUCUAACUAGCAUCAUCUCUAGCUUUGUGUUCUUUAUCAAGUACAUGAAAGUGUGAAAAUGAAGUGUUGUUUUAAUGAAUAUAUGAGCUUUUUCGUGCCUCUAUAUGGGCCGUUUCGUGUCUGCCUUAAACGGACUGUGAUCGUGGCCGCCCAUAGGCCGCGACCUCGGCCUGAUAUAUCGGGCCGUGCUGGCCCGACACUAAAAUAUUUCGGGCCAUGCCAUGCCUGGGUCGUGUUUUUUUUCGUGCUUCGGGCCAGCCCAUUAGGCCCGACCCAAAUGUACACCUAUACUUUAGGCCUUAGUGAAGCAAGGCUACGUCCCUUGGUCUAGGGCGAGAGAUUUAGGGAUUCAGAACAGAACCUUAAAACCUCAUUGAUGCUGAAACACAUCUACCUGAUGCUUAAACUGAUGGAAUUUAACUUUAUUUGAAUGCUAGCAGUAGGAUACGAUUCUAUUGGUAUAUGUUGAUGUGCUAAGCAAAGUUCAGAUUUACACAAAGCAGAAUAUUACUAGAAAAGCCUUAUUAUAGUGCUUUAGCAGAUUGAUAAAUGUUAGGUUUUGCUCUAUGGAUAAUCAUGAUCAAUUCUACUUUCUAUAACUAUAAUUCAUUGGUGUCUUGGGGUUUGGGCAUCCAUUCAGCCAGAAUAUAGUU
rnacentral:lncRNA from 7 species